CUAGACCUAGGAAAAAUAGAUAAUUAAAAUUCAUAUGCAAAAUUGGCAGAGCCACAAAGAAUUUAAAGCAUGUUCCUUAGAUCCACCUGAUGAGGCUUUUGCCUACCAACUUUACCGGUUGGGUAUCAUCGGUGAAUGAGUCAUUGACGUGCAAGACAACGGCACCUCCUUCUGUUUGCCACAUCUCCCUGAGCACACCUUGCUAGUUCACUCUGGCUGGAAGUCAUUUCUGACUGUUGUGAUAAUGUUAGGGAGAUAGGCAGGUGUUGGGGACAAAAUUCAAUGCCAAGAAAUUUUGGUAAUAGAUCCAGCUUUGAAUGAAAAUCAUCCACAAACCAUUUCUGAAUGUUGUAAUUAUAUUAUGUACUAGGCAGAUGCUUCACAACAUUUGAUGCAAAAUUUUCUUAGUAAUUGGAUUUGACAGUAUAAAUUGAAUUGCAACACAUUUAACAUCUCUUGUCAGAUUGCCUGCAAACACAUGGCAGUGAGCAGUGUUAUGGUUUGAACAGCUUUAAGUGGCCUGAAAACAUCUGGCAGUGGACAAUGUGGCCCGCAAACACAAGGCAGUGAACAGUGUAUGGUUUGAACAGCUUUAAGUAAGUAAUUAGACCUCUGUUUUAGUAUUCAGUUUAUUUGCAGUGGUGUUUUAUUGCAGUAUUAGGAAUUACAAAAAAAAAAAAAAAAAAAAAAAAAAA